UACGAAGGGUGCAAGCGUUACUCGGAAUUCCUGGGCGUAAAGCGUGCGUAGGUGGUUCGUUAAGUCUGAUGUGAAAGCCCUGGGCUCAACCUGGGAAUGGCAUUGGAAACUGGCGACCUAGAGUGCGGUAGAGGGUAGUGGAAUUCCCGGUGUAGCAGUGAAAUGCGUAGAGAUCGGGAGGAACAUCUGUGGCGAAGGCGACUGCCUGGACCAGCACUGACACUGAGGCACGAAAGCGUGGGGAGCAAACAGG
rnacentral:rRNA from 1 species